UACUUACCUACGNGAAAAGUGCGUCUGAA
rnacentral:piRNA from 1 species